rnacentral:rRNA from 1 species
UACGUAGGUGGCGAGCGUUGUCCGGAUUUACUGGGCGUAAAGGGAGCGUAGGCGGACUUUUAAGUGAGAUGUGAAAUACCCGGGCUCAACUUGGGUGCUGCAUUUCAAACUGGAAGUCUAGAGUGCAGGAGAGGAGAGUGGAAUUCCUAGUGUAGCGGUGAAAUGCGUAGAUAUUAGGAGGAACACCAGUUGCGAAGGCGGCUCUCUGGACUGUAACUGACACUGAGGCACGAAAGCGUGGGGAGCAAACAGGAUUAGAUACCCCGGUAGU